UACGGAGGCUGCAAGCGUUAUCCGGAAUUAUUGGGCGUAAAGCGUCCGCAGGUGGCUGAUCAAGUCUGCUGUUAAAGCGUGCAGCUUAACUGCAUAAAGGCAGUGGAAACUGAUUAGCUAGAGUUUGGUAGGGGUCACGGGAAUUCCCAGUGUAGCGGUGAAAUGCGUAGAUAUUGGGAAGAACACCAGCGGCGAAAGCGCGUGACUGGGCCUGAACUGACACUCAUGGACGAAAGCUAGGGGAGCGAAAGGG
rnacentral:rRNA from 1 species